GACGGAAGGUGCAAGCGUUGCUCGGAAUCACUGGGCGUAAAGGGUGCGUAGGCGGGUCUUUAAGUCAGGGGUGAAAUCCUGGAGCUCAACUCCAGAACUGCCUUUGAUACUGAGGAUCUUGAGUUCGGGAGAGGUGAGUGGAACUGCGAGUGUAGAGGUGAAAUUCGUAGAUAUUCGCAAGAACACCCAGUGGCGAAGGCGGCUCACUGGCCCGAUACUGACGCUGAGGCACGAAAGCGUGGGAGCA
rnacentral:rRNA from 1 species